ACUUGAUGGAGCUAAACAAGCUUUACUGGAGAUGGUUAUAUUACCGGCAAAACAAAGAGAUUUGUUCACUGGUAUCCGGAGACCAGCGAGAGGUAUGUUUCUCUUUGGGCCACCAGGCAAUGGAUAAAAAAUGCUUGCCAACGUCUCAGCUUCUUCUUUGACUUCUCUUGCUCCUUGUAAAACAGAUGCAGAGCCCUGUACCUCUUGUGGUGCUGACAUAUUUGAGAAUAAUGAUUGGAGGCCUCACUUUACUGAGCCAAGGAGCCUUUUAGCCCUGUGAAC